UACAGAGGCCUCGAGCGUUAGGCGGAAUCACUGGGCUUAAAGCGUGUGUAGGCGGAUUGCUAAGUACCUUGUGAAAUCCCACGGCUUAACCGUGGAACUGCUUGGUAUACUGGCUGUCUUGAGCCACUUAGGGGCGACCGGAACAAACGGUGGAGCGGUGAAAUGCGCAGAUAUCAGGAAGAACACCCGUGGCUAAGGCGGCUCUCUAGUACGGUACUGACGCUGAGACGCGAAAGCGUGGGGAGCGAACAGG
rnacentral:rRNA from 1 species